UGGGGAAUAUUGCACAAUGGGCGCAAGCCUGAUGCAGCCAUGCCGCGUGUGUGAAGAAGGCCUUCGGGUUGUAAAGCACUUUCAGCGGGGAGGAAGGCGUUAAGGUUAAUAACCUUGGCGAUUGACGUUACCCGCAGAAGAAGCACCGGCUAACUCCGUGCCAGCAGCCGCGGUAAUACGGAGGGUGCAAGCGUUAAUCGGAAUUACUGGGCGUAAAGCGCACGCAGGCGGUCUGUCAAGUCGGAUGUGAAAUCCCCGGGCUCAACCUGGGAACUGCAUUCGAAACUGGCAGGCUAGAGUCUUGUAGAGGGGGGCAGAAUUCCAGGUGUAGCGGUGAAAUGCGUAGAGAUCUGGAGGAAUACCGGUGGCGAAGGCGGCCCCCUGGACAAAGACUGACGCUCAGGUGCGAAAGCGUGGGGAGCAAACAGG
rnacentral:rRNA from 1 species